GAGCGGCGAACGGGUGAGUAACACGUGGGUGAUCUGCCUCGCACUUCGGGAUAAGCCUGGGAAACUGGGUCUAAUACCGGAUAUGACCUUUCAGUGCAUGCUGUUGGGUGGAAAGAUUUAUCGGUGCGAGAUGGGCCCGCGGCCUAUCAGCUUGUUGGCGGGGUAACGGCCCACCAAGGCGACGACGGGUAGCCGACCUGAGAGGGUGACCGGCCACACUGGGACUGAGACACGGCCCAGACUCCUACGGGAGGCAGCAGUGGGGAAUAUUGCACAAUGGGCGAAAGCCUGAUGCAGCGACGCCGCGUGAGGGAUGACGGCCUUCGGGUUGUAAACCUCUUUCGACAGGGACGAAGCGCAAGUGACGGUACCUGUAGAAGAAGCACCGGCCAACUACGUGCCAGCAGCCGCGGUAAUACGUAGGGUGCGAGCGUUGUCCGGAAUUACUGGGCGUAAAGAGCUUGUAGGCGGUUUGUCGCGUCGUCCGUGAAAACUUGGGGCUCAACCCCAAGCUUGCGGGCGAUACGGGCAGACUUGAGUACUUCAGGGGAGACUGGAAUUCCUGGUGUAGCGGUGAAAUGCGCAGAUAUCAGGAGGAACACCGGUGGCGAAGGCGGGUCUCUGGGAAGUAACUGACGCUGAGAAGCGAAAGCGUGGGUAGCGAACAGGAUUAGAUACCCUGGUAGU
rnacentral:rRNA from 1 species